rnacentral:rRNA from 1 species
UCAAGCGAAUAAGCGCACACGGUGGAUGCCUAGGCGGUCAGAGGCGAUGAAGGACGUGGUAGCCUGCGAAAAGUGUCGGGGAGCUGGCAACAAGCUUUGAUCCGGCAAUAUCCGAAUGGGGAAACCCACUGCUUCGGCAGUAUCUUGCAGUGAAUUCAUAGCUGCUGGAAGCGAACCCGGUGAACUGAAAUAUCUAAGUAACCGGAGGAAAAGAAAUCAACCGAGAUUCCCUAAGUAGUGACGAGCGAACGGGGAGCAGCCCUUAAGCUGGAAUGGCUUUAGAAAAACAAUCUGGAAAGAUUGGCCAUAGAAGGUGAUAGCCCUGUAUUUAAAAGGGCCACUCCAGUGAAGACGAGUAGGGCGGGGCACGUGAAACCCUGUCUGAAUAUGGGGGGACCAUCCUCCAAGGCUAAAUACUCCUGACCGACCGAUAGUGAACCAGUACCGUGAGGGAAAGGCGAAAAGAACCCCGGAGAGGGGAGUGAAAUAGAUCCUGAAACCGUGUGCGUACAAGCAGUAGGAGCUCGCAAGAGUGACUGCGUACCUUUUGUAUAAUGGGUCAGCGACUUACUGUUCGUGGCAAGCUUAACCGUAUAGGGGAGGCGAAGGGAAACCGAGUCUGAUAAGGGCGCAUAGUCGCGGGCAGUAGACCCGAAACCGGGUGAUCUAGUCAUGGCCAGGGUGAAGGUGCCGUAACAGGUACUGGAGGCCCGAACCCACGUCUGUUGCAAAAGACGGGGAUGAGCUGUGAUUAGGAGUGAAAAGCUAAUCGAACCCGGAGAUAGCUGGUUCUCCUCGAAAGCUAUUUAGGUAGCGCCUCGGACGAAUACUACUGGGGGUAGAGCACUGUUAUGGCUAGGGGGUCAUCGCGACUUACCAAACCAUUGCAAACUCCGAAUACCAGUACGUACUAUCCGGGAGACACACGGCGGGUGCUAACGUCCGUCGUGAAAAGGGAAACAACCCAGACCCACAGCUAAGGUCCCAAAUUCACUGCUAAGUGGAAAACGAUGUGGAAAGGCAUAGACAGCCAGGAGGUUGGCUUAGAAGCAGCCACCCUUUAAAGAAAGCGUAAUAGCUCACUGGUCGAGUCGGUCUGCGCGGAAGAUUUAACGGGGCUAAGCAGUGAACCGAAGCUUGGGGUGCAUAAAACUUGUUUUAUGCGCGGUAGAGGAGCGUUCCGUAAGCCUGCGAAGGUGGAUUGAGAAGUCUGCUGGAGGUAUCGGAAGUGCGAAUGCUGACAUGAGUAACGAUAAUGCGGGUGAAAAGCCCGCACGCCGAAAGCCCAAGGUUUCCUUGCGCAACGUUAAUCGACGCAGGGUUAGUCGGUCCCUAAGGCGAGGGCGAAAGCCGUAGUCGAUGGGAAGCAGGUUAAUAUUCCUGCACCUCGCGUGAGUGCGAUGGAGGGACGGAGAAGGUUAGGUGUACCGGGCGUUGGUUGUCCCGGGGAAAGGCGGUAGGUUUGGAUCUUUGGCAAAUCCGGGAUCCUUUAAGACCGAGCACCGAGACGAGCCUUUAUGGCGAAGUCACUGAUACCACGCUUCCAGGAAAAGCUCCUAAGCUUCAGCUCACGAAGACCGUACCGUAAACCGACACAGGUGGGUAGGAUGAGAAUUCUCAGGCGCUUGAGAGAACUCGGGUGAAGGAACUAGGCAACAUGGCACCGUAACUUCGGGAGAAGGUGCACCCUUUUUGGUGGCUCAUGCGAGCUAUAGCUGAAGAGGGUCGCAGAAACCAGGCCGCUGCGACUGUUUAUCAAAAACACAGCACUCUGCAAACACGAAAGUGGACGUAUAGGGUGUGACGCCUGCCCGGUGCUGGAAGGUUAAUUGAUGGGGUCAGCCGCAAGGCGAAGCUCUUGAUCGAAGCCCCAGUAAACGGCGGCCGUAACUAUAACGGUCCUAAGGUAGCGAAAUUCCUUGUCGGGUAAGUUCCGACCUGCACGAAUGGCGUAACGACAGCGGCGCUGUCUCCACCCGAGACUCAGUGAAAUUGAAAUCGCUGUGAAGAUGCAGCGUUCCCGUGGCAAGACGGAAAGACCCCGUGAACCUUUACUAUAGCUUUACACUGAACGUUGAGUUCGUCUGUGUAGGAUAGGUGGGAGGCUAUGAAACUGUGGCGCUAGCUGCAGUGGAGCCAUCCUUGAAAUACCACCCUGUCGUGCUUGACGUUCUAACCUAGAUCCGUUAUCCGGAUCAGGGACCGUGUAUGGUGGGUAGUUUGACUGGGGCGGUCUCCUCCUAAAGAGUAACGGAGGAGCACGAAGGUACGCUCAGCGCGGUCGGACAUCGCGCACUGUGUGCAAAGGCAUAAGCGUGCUUGACUGCAAGAUCGACGGAUCAAGCAGGUACGAAAGUAGGUCUUAGUGAUCCGGUGGUUCUGUAUGGAAGGGCCAUCGCUCAACGGAUAAAAGGUACUCCGGGGAUAACAGGCUGAUACCGCCCAAGAGUUCAUAUCGACGGCGGUGUUUGGCACCUCGAUGUCGGCUCAUCACAUCCUGGGGCUGUAGUCGGUCCCAAGGGUAUGGCUGUUCGCCAUUUAAAGUGGUACGCGAGCUGGGUUCAGAACGUCGUGAGACAGUUCGGUCCCUAUCUGCCAUGGGCGUUGGAAGUUUGAGAGGGGCUGCUCCUAGUACGAGAGGACCGGAGUGGACGAACCUCUGGUGUUCCGGUUGUCACGCCAGUGGCAUUGCCGGGUAGCUAUGUUCGGAAGCGAUAACCGCUGAAAGCAUCUAAGCGGGAAGCGCGCCUCAAGAUGAGACUUCCCGGGGCACAAGCCCCCUAAAGGAACCAUAUAGACUAUGUGGUUGAUAGGUCAGGUGUGUAAGUACAGCAAUGUAUUGAGCUAACUGAUACUAAUGAUCCGUGCGGCUUGACCAU